rnacentral:tRNA from 1 species
GAGUGUAUAGCUCAGUGGUAAAGUGCGUGCUUAGCAUGCAUGAGGUCCUGGGUUCAAUCCCCAGGACCUCCA